CAAUAAUUGAGCCCUCCACCACUAGUGCUGUCUCAAGCCCAGCACCCAACACUGCGCCCUAUGGGAGCACAGGAAGCGCCCAUCUCCCGCUGGCCUGUCGAUACCUGGUCCUGGCUCUCUCCUCCUUCAUCAGCGUGUACUAGCAGUGGUCGACGCAGACACAGUGACUGUCAAGAGCCUUUAUGAAUCCUUUUUUUGACAUUGCUGAUGGCUGAAAUUCAAUCUGGUACUGUUUGGUGGAAAGCUGAGGAGGGAAAAUAAUCAGCUUCUCUUUGUGUGGGGGAUUUUGUUUCUUUGCUUUCUGGUGAAAAAUCUGUCAUGUAAAUGCUACAAUGUUAUUUUUUAUCAUUAUUGUUAUUUUCUCUUUCAUAUAUUUUAUUAUGUUCCUAAUUGACAGACCACUUUGUGAAUUAGUGUUCAACACCCAUACCCCCCUCCCAACCUCACCAACUUCAAUCAUAUCAACAGCCUCUCAAACGAGUUACUUUCUUCCAUCUUUUUCCCUGCAAGGUGACGGCGCAAACUUUUCCAUUCAUUUUUGUACUUGGUUAAAAAGAAGCAAUUGUGCCAAGUCUCUGAAUACACAGAUUACCGUACCAAUGUGUUGAAUGUAUUAUGGGCUGGUGAACAAAGGAAAGACAUUUAGAUUUCUAACAAUAACAUAUUUGAUUACAGAGCGUGCUUAAAAUACGCAGGGGAAAAAAGAGGGCAGAAACAAACGAAGAAAAAUGGCUGGGCUUUAUCUGAGACCCGUGUUUCCAUGAUUUCUCAGUAGGUGGAUAAACAGUCCUGAAGGAUUGCGAUGUUGUAUUUCGGAAAUGGGUCCCUCAUUUACCACGCCUGCCUGACAGCUUUAAUCAGGCAGCCGUCAAAGUAGCAGAAUAUCCUGUAUCAUAUCUUUAUAUUUCAGUAUAGUGUAGGGUUUUGUUUGCGGGACCAGCUUCUCUCAUCUCACCAGGAGCAUUAACAUAAAUCAUAUCUUUGUACAGUAUGAAUGGAGGAACAUCGCUGCGCUUCUGUUUACAUUUUUCCUAAUAGAAAAUACUACAGCCUGUUCUUCAUGCUUGUUCUGAUUGUUCAAACCGUUUACUUCACUUAGUAGGAAGAAGGGAAGCCCAAGUUCAGUUGUUUAAAGAUUUACCUCUCUUUAGAAGAAAUCUCUUUCUACAGGUGUCAGAGCAGAAUUCUUUCUUCUGAACUGGGUUCCAAUCCCUCAGCAGCCAACUGCAGAUGUUGGCUGCAAGUUUUACCAAAAUACUUCAAUAACCUAACCAGAAAAAAAUAUAUAUAUAUAUUAAAAUCUGACUUUUCUCCUGAUACUAAGAGGGUGAACAAAGAUGAUCAGUCUCUAAGUUUCAGACUAAUUUUUUUAAGGAAAGCUUAUAAGAGCAGCAUUUUCAUUCUAAGGUGUAGUGCCUUGUGAGAGUAUCAAUACCCCCAUUAGCAUUUCUACACUUUCUCAUACGACCACAAUCUGAAUUGUAUUUAUGAAUUUUUAGUUCUAUAAACCAACACAAGGUAGAGCAGUGAAGUGAAGAAAACAAAUUAAUAUUUUCAAAAGGAAAUAAACAAAAGUUAAAAGUGAAAAUGUAUUCUAUGAAUAUUAGUACUUUAAAACUGUGAUGAAUCACCUUUUGAUGUGUUCAAAGACAUUUAAGGACAGAAAAAUAUAUUAAAAUUCUUCCUUUCAAAAUACAAUCUCUAAAAAACAGAUUUUUCAAGUCUUGUGCAAAUAACUAUUGAAUUGAAUUCAGGCCUGAGAGAUUCUAACACAUCAGUUUUCGGUACUGAUCUGGCUGUAUGUUCAGCCUCUUUGUCAUGUUUAAUUAUUAGUCUGUUGAGUCUCAGAUAUUUUGCAGUCUAAAGGCCUUUUUCCUGCCCCUGCUGAAGAAAGGCAUUCCCCACAGCAUAAUACUGACAUUGAAAUUUUCACACUGGGAUUUUCACACUUCCCAGAACAGAAGGAUUCAAUGUUAGAAAGACUUACACGGACUUUAUUCAAUAAGUAGGUAAACAUUUGAAAGUAUUAAACUUAUUUAAAUUUUAUUUUAGACCACUAACAUAGGAGCAACUGCAGUACAUGUCACAAUUUCCAGAUUUCUAUUCUUAAAAAGCAUUUGUUAUUUACUGAUCAUUCACAAACAUGCACUACCUUGUGUUCAUUCGCCAUUUUAUAAAAUACCAGUCAAACAUCGAAGCUGGUGGUUUUUAGAUAAUACUAUAUGAAAAGUAGAGGGAUUAUGGAUACUUUUGAAAGGCACUGUACCCUCAACCCACAUCAAUAAAACAGAAAUACUGUAAUGCCUUAAUAUUCUCAUACUAAUAUGCUCAUACAUUUACCAUUGACACAUGCAUUUCCAUUUCCUCCAAAGGACACUUCCAGUAGCUCUCACUUAGAAUCUCCUCCUUUCUGAUGACCGAAUGUUUAUCAACCAUCAUCUGACUUGUAUUCCAGGAUAAAGCUGAGGAGAAUUACAGCCCUUAAUAAGUAUUUUUUCAAAUGUAUCAGUUGCCUCAGAUACAGAUGCUGAAUUUUUAGUUGAGGUUAACAUGUUUGCGAGGUUGUUGGAAUUUAAACUGUGUUAUAUUCUGCCCGACAACCGGAGGACUAACCAUCAGGUUCACAGUAUUUUCACAGGUAAACUUGUGACUGAAGAUCUGUAGAACAAUAGCCAUUGCGGUUAAAAGACUUAAAGCACAAACACUGUCAUUAUUUACAUGGUGAUAUAUUUUGGGUUCUGUUUUUUUUUGUACGGAAAUUAUUUCUGGCUUAUUUUACCAACUAUAAAGUUACUGCACCAUUUGAUUUUGUUUCAGUAUUUAAAGUAUAAUGGAAAAUGGUUCAGACGUAUAUUUAUUCUCUUCCUUUAUUAAAAUGUAUAAACACUGCGUUUUGAAACAUGUAAAACUGGAUAUAUGACAUUUAUUUGAAUGAAACACAGUAUGGCAUAGUUUCUAAUGUCGUCAGGUUCCUUUAGAUGCCAUUACUGCUGUUGAUUUAGGUAUGUUUAAAAGAGCAAUGUUUGCAAUGAAAUUUGCCUACUUUUUAAAGCAGAGGGUGUGAACCAGUAUAUCAGUAUAAUAGAUCAGAAUCAAUGUGUGUAUAUUUGGAGAAAAUAGGUACCUUUUGAUCUGUAGAGCCAGUGUGUAGUCUUAGUUUUCACACACUCGUUCGACAAUGUGCAGAGAGUAUGGUUGUGCUGCAUGUUCAAAAUUAACCAGUAUUUUUGAAAAGUUGGCCAUUUUACAGACCUUCCAACUUUAAAUGGAAGUGGUUUUUCUUUUCCAAAAUCUUGAUUCAUAACCUUGGUCUGAAAAUACAUACCUCUACAGAUCACCAGGCUGUGUUUGUAUAUGAUUUAUUUCAAUCAACUUGCUCUUGAUUUAUAAUGAUAACGAUUGUUGUGGCACAUUGUGGUGACAGUUCGGAGUUAAUGCUGGUUACUUGUUUGAGCACUUAAGACCAUGCUAGUAUUCCAUAUGAAAUGUACUGGAUGUUGAUUAUUAUUUUUUGAAUAUGGUAUUAACAAGUCCCUUUUAUCGAAUCCGUAUAAUUUGCAAUAAAAGUCUCCAUGUUACAAUGUAAACCCACAUCUGAGUUUAUGAGCAGUCAAAGGGGGUUGCUGGUGGUGAUGCCAAUGAAAUAUUUCUGUUGCUAAUGUGACCCCAAGAAAGCAGAACAAAACACUUCAAGUUUUCUCCAGUUUUUACUUCAGCCUUGUGGGUGAUUAAGCUAACCUGCAGACUUUUUGGGUAAAAAUCUAUUUAAAGCCAGCAUGGAUCAUGUCAGCUAAACCAACACAUAAGAAAUUGGCUAAAAGAGGCAGAUUUAUAUGUUUUUGUACAAUAUAUACAAGGAGCAAACAAGAGUAAAUCUGUUCAAAACAUUGCUGGAAGUCACUAAACCAUCCAC